UCUUCCAGUCUCUUGUAACCAAAUAUUUAUCAAGUCAGAGAGAGAAUUACUUCCUCUCUCACUCAGCUGCAUUGUCACUGAGUGUGGUUCAUUUCUUUGCUUUAACGGUUGUGUAGUUAUUUAUACUAAAGUAUAUGAAGUUAUUUAAACAGUUUACUUAAUAGAGAUUUACCCAGCAGCCUGUGUUAUACAGAAUUACAGACCACUGGGUUAAAUUCCAUUUUAAGGGCCUGAAACAUGAUCUUCCAUGCUAGCUGUCUUGGCAGGCAGUGGGAAGCUGAGCAAACUUUUUGGAGAAAACCGCGGGGCAGUACUUGCUCACUAGCCAGAGCAAUAUCACCUGAUGGAUCUGAGGGCUGCAAGGAGCUCUCCAGAGAAAAACCAACUGCUACAAUUCAGACUGCUACUGAAGUAAGUAAGUAACCCCUGAAGAAUCAAAGCACAAAUUGAUGCCUUUCAACACUAUGUUUCUGUAACUAAGGAACUGCCCAGCUCUGCAAUAAUUUCAUUGUCUGGGUAUGCUUAAAAUGCAGGGUGGCAUGAAGGAAGAGGAAGCAGUUUUCAGGAUUAUACCUUCAUCUGUGCUACUAAGCCUAAAAAUUAAUUUAAAAUCUAGUUCAAUUUCAUUCCAGGUUUUCAUUUGUUCAGUUAUUUGGGGUAAAUGCAAAGUGGAUUUAGUGACAUUGUUUUAGAUGUGUUGAAUUAAAACAGGAUGUGGCCUAAACCACAGCAAGUACAAGGUAUUUUUCCACAAUUCUCUUUUCAGUGCUUAUUUCAGUUUAUGCUGACAAAUACUGCAUGCUUCUUCUACUUGUCUUUUUUUCUAGAAAUGUUUUAAAACAAGUAUGGUUGAAGUUUAGGCCUGAUUUAAUGUUUUGAAUUUCAGGUAUUUUUAUCUUGUCUUGGCAACAGCAGAGUAAAGUUAGGACAGUCUUUGAGAGGAGUCUCAGUUAUCCCUGCCUCUGAGCAGGAACAGCUUUACAGAGGGUGGGCAGGAAGGUUGGGUAUUGCUCAGGAAAAUAUUUGGGGAAGGGGGCUGAAACUGUCUACAAACUAACAGCAAACCUUUUGCAUACAAGGUAGAACCUUACAAGCAGUGUUCUCCCCUGGCCAGGGCAUCCCCUUCUCUGGGCAUACUGGGAUCUCCUCCACAAAAGGAAUGAUCUUGUCAGUGGUUUCUCCCCUGUGAGAAGGGCAAAGCAACAGUGGCAUCUCAACAGGGGGGAUUUUCUUCACUUGCCGGAGGGGAGAGAGGAUAAUGGGGUCUGAACUGUUGACUCGGUCACCGUGACAGGUCUCACAGGCAUAUGGCUCUUCUCUACAGACCUACACUGAGUGCUGGGCCUGGUGGGUGUGGAAGUUUUUACAUUCCCUGGUGGGAUGCUUUGCAUUCAGUGGUGAUGUAGGAGGCUCUGCUGGAGCAGCCAAAGCAACAAAUUCAGCAGCACCCCAUCUGAGAUGUGUGUCCACUUUUCAUAGCACAGCUAGCUCCACCAGCAACCUCAUCAGUAGUUUCUGAGAUGAGUCCAGUCCCGUGGGACUGCAACAGAUUCAGGACAUCAGUUUUCUUGAGUUCCCUGCUCUAUACUGAGGUCUUCCCUAAUAUUGAGCUUAAGGGUCCAGGGUGAAGCUUGUGACCACUGUGCUUUAUCUGGAUGUGGAAGGGAAGGUCGCUGAUGUGAUGUGAGGACCAGAGCCAUGAGGCAAUGCUGAAGGGGAGCACAAGCUCCACGCAGAAGAGGACUUCUGAUUUAGUGUGUCCUGAUAUCCUGGUUGCAGGGUCAGAUCAGAAAGCUGGAGAUGUCCUGCUGAAGAUGUUGGACUAGAUGACCUGGAGAGGUUUAGAUCAGGUAUUAGAAAAGCACGUUUCAUGGAGAGGGUUGUAAAGCACUGGAACCGCCUACCCAGGGAAGUGGUGGAGUCACCAUCCCUGAUGUGUUUAAUAAUGUGUGGUUGUGACAUUUGAGGACUUUAUUUAAUGGUGAACAUUAUGACGGUACUAGGCUGAUGGUUGCACUUGAUGGUCUUAAAGGUCUUUUCUAAGCUUGACAGCUCUAUGAUUCUACCUUCAAAAGUCCCAAUCCUCUCAAAACAUUCCAUAGUCCUAUGAUUCCAUGAAAGCGACACUCACAAAAGAUUCCUGUUUAAUCAAGUAUGUUUCCCAAGUACCAGGCUCGAUAUGGCUGUUUCAAUUUUAUGUGAAAAAAAAUCUUUGGAUUUAUUAAAGAACACUAAUCUCCUUAGAAAGAUAAUUAGCUGCCCACCACCAACAGGAUUUUGAUGGAAAACUUUUGAAUAAAGGUUGUAGAAGUCUUUGCCUAGGUUCAGAAUACUAAUUUAGUAGAAUGGCAGUGUAAUAUAUUAAAGUUUUGCCCAGAAAUGGUGGAUGUAUUAAAGAUUACCUUGGUGCUCCAAGUUUUUAAACUAUAUGUCUGUGGAAAGGUAAAGCAAAUUCUGUGUUCAGUACUUUGGUCUUUGCUGUACAGUGCAUCCAGCAACAUUAAUAUUUACCUUGUACAUUAUUUUCUCUGCUUUGGAGAUGCAAAUAUGUACUCAUAGCUAUAAGAUCAUGUUAAUUUUAUCAGGAGAUCCAGUCUGCCAAAUCAUGCAACUGGAUUGUUGCCAUGGUCGUGACUUGUAAUGAAAGAGGAGCUUUUAGCUAUGCCAUGAAAUAGGACUCCAGUGAGAUUGGUCAGAUGUAAAAUAGAUGAGGCCUUGAACUGACGGGACUUAGUGAGUCAGAGUGAUUUGGUAAGUAACAUGUUUUUCCUGCUGCAUGUAUAAAAGAAUGACUAAGAAACCAAACCCCCAGGGUGAGAAUGAAAAUAAAAAGGGAAAACUGCUCAUAUCCUGACCAAAUAGGAACAGUCCAAGUCCAGUAUUUGGAACCCCAUUUUGCCAGUUCUUUUUCUGAAGUUCAGAGACCUUCACCAGAAUAAAUGGUAUUCUAGAGUUCUGUCCAGCCUGUUAUCCAUGACAUCCAUUGAUUAAAGAACAGCAGGAACUCUGACAGCAACAAAAUACUUCCAGUCUGAGAGAUAAAUAAUUUUUAAACAAAAGGAAGAGAAAUAUUUCUUCUUUAGACUCAUACCACAAAUGGGACAUCUCAAGUACGUGAAAUUGGAAUUGAAAACGGAAAUCUGCAAAUAAUUUCAGCUAUAUGGCUUUUGCGGCACACAUUAUAACACUGAGUGCUUGCUGCAGUGCUAAUGCUGUGCAAUAAUUCCUUGGAAAAGUACCUUUUCUUUCUCUGUUCCCAUUUAUCAGUCACCAUUAAAGAGGUCCUGCAUUAAAGUGAUGGUUGUAAUGAGGAAAGGAAAAGAUACUGGGCUGACAUCUGAAUAAACAGGAGGAGAGGAUCCAUGACUGACUGAUCAAGAUUAUUUUUACCCAUCAUUGUUUUAAUGUGCAAGUCAAAAGUUUUCUUAGUAAAGAGAGAGCAGCUUCGGGAGUUGAUUUAACUUGUAGUGAAAUGUCAUCUUAAUAUUUAGCUGAAGAAAAAAGCCUUAUUUGAAGUUUGUGAGGGGAAUAGCUUAAACAGCAAACUAUUUUGCUGCUACUGUUCCACUCUAGCCAAACUUUCAAAGUGUAAUUAAAACCAUAUUCAUCAUAUAGCAUAUUUUUUCCCUCUUCUUGCCAAAAAUAUUUCAAUGUAUAUUAAAUGUUUUUCUUCCUAAUCAGAAUGAGUGAUCCAAGCUCCAGAGGGCACCCAGCCAGAAACUCCUGAGUUUUAAUUUUAGCUUCUAUGUGGCUUCUUAGCUUGUUUCUCUUCUCUGAAGGGCAGCAAUAGCAGCCUACAUAACUAAUUUUCUCUCAGGAUGAUUCCUAUUCUUAUGUGGAAUGCGGAAGGGAGCAGGAAGCCAGCAGAGCCCGUGGAGUCCAAUAUUUUCAGCCAUUCAGGAAGGAGGAGGAAUUCUGUUGAAGCCCCACUGUGCUAGGUCCUCUGGGCACAGAUGCUGACAGGCAGUUCCUGAUCCAGAUCUGGGUGCCACCUGAGAACUACUGUUUAUGGACUUGGUUGUUUAUCUUCUGAAUAGCUGCUGUAGGACCUCUCUUCCUCUGAAAGCCCAAGCAGGAUAAUAAACAGUGCUAGCCAGCACCCAAGGACCUGGUCUUAGUCGUGUCGUGAUGUUGCCACACAGCCUUCCUCAAUAAAACUUAUACACAGGAAACUCUUUGAUGUACAAAAUAUUUAUCCCGCCUCUUUCAUGUCACAAUUUUACCUUUCAGUGUUCUGUAUGACACAUUUGUGUCCAAACAGUUAACAUCUGAAGUGAAAUUUGUAGAGUCACUUCCAGGGUAGGAAUGAAUCGGGUGUGAGUAAUGAUGACAUACUGCUUCGAAAAAUUCAAGAGGCAAAGUGAGAAGAAAUUAAAAACAGGGGAGUGCCAUCCCUGCCAGGGGAGCCUGUCACCUUCUCUCACCAGCUGCAGGAGUUUGUGGCUACUUCCCAACCCAGCUGUCCUGGCCACAGCCCGUGUGUGCUUACCUGGUCCCUCCCCUGGAGCCGUGCCCUGUGCAGCACUGCCAAACUAUGAGCUCCAUGAGCUGUUCCUCCCUUCCUCUUCUUAUCUGCUGGCACCCUUCAGUUGAUAAUGCCUUCUUUCGCCACACACCUUUGCCUUUAGCUCUCCUUGCCUUCAUCCUCUCUCCCACGGGUGGCAGCACACAAGGAUAGUUCUCAUUAGAGGGAAAAGAGAGGGCUUGAUCUAUACAACUGUUUUCUAGAUAGAAAAAGCAGCAGGGCACAGAAGACAGCAAAAUUUUAACUUGAAAGUGUUAUUUUAUUUUUUUGUGCAUGUUUCUUGUAUACACAUCUGAAAUGGGUUACUCCAGCCAUAUGGAUAGCAGAACUUCUGGCUUCCAUGAAGUUUCCUAUUUUUUCUUUAAAAUGGCUGUCAGAGUUCUGGGGUUACAUUGCUAAAACCACAGAGGAGUAUAAUGAAUGUAAACUCUUGAUUUCCACAUGAAAUGCUAAGUAAACUUUUCAAUGAAGCAAAUCAGAAGAAAUUACCUGUGAUUUAAUCUGAAUUUUCUUUUGUGGGUUUUUUGCCUCAGUUUGAUUGCACUCCAAUACUGUCAGUUCUGUUCUUGCCCUGGCUGGGAAUGGUUCUCUUGAUUGUCUCCCAAAAUCACUCAUGGGCUCAGCUACCUGAUGUUCCUGUGUUCUGGAUGUUUUUCCAUCAUCUCACUCUCAGAAAGUGGCCAGUGGCCUUUCCAAAUAUACUGUUCCUAUUUCAGCCAGGUUUUACCAUCUGCUCAGUCCCUUGCUAGCCAUAUAGCCAUUAUGAACCUGAACAGUUAUAUUUGGCUGAUUGGUAGCUCCUUUCAAGACCACAAACUUUCUCCAAGGCUCAAGGUAUUGCAGCAUAAAGUAAUUUGAGAUCCUCAGGUAGAAAAUAUGAAGAUAAUAACUUUCCUCAUCUGUCACAUAUACUAAUGCCACAUUACCCUCUGCUGCUCUCAGCAGCCCGCUAAUUUCUGUCAUUCACAGCUAUCAGAAGACACUAAUAAUUCCAGCUCCCUUUCCAAUACCAGUAACUUCUUCUACUUGGCUUGUCUUCCCCAUUUGGCCUUUUCGCCGAUCCACAUGCAAAGAAUUUUCAUCAUUAUAUUAGACUCUCUCCUUCCUUCAACCCCUACCCCUCAACUUCUACUACUAUUAUUUUGCCUCCUUCUGACUCAUCCCAGAAGACCCUUAUGCCUUCCUGUCACUUAAGAGCCCCUCCUAUAACAUUUGGUCUGGGCUCUCCAUCAUCGCUAUUAUUGCCCAUUGCACAGAAUUCCUCAGCUUGCUCUGUAGUGGGAGCCCCUCUGCUCUUUCCUCUGAUCAAUUGCUCCUUUCAUGUUGAAGUCCAACUGCUUCCUGUUGAUUCUCAAAAGCUGCCUUUUCAGCAAGCAAACCAUGAAAGCACCUUUGUUUCAUCUUUCUAGGGUUUUCACAAAAUACAGUUGAAACCAAUUUCACUUUUAGUUAGUAUUUCACAGUGGGUAAUUAAUAGCCUAUUACUAAUGCUUUCUUUUGAUAGUUUUUAUGUGUUCUUGAACGUGGUAUUGCCUUCUGUACUGAUUAUUGGUUAUGUACUAUUUAUGCAGAUGUCUUCCUUGCUAGUCCAUAGUGAUUCCCUUAUAGUACCAUAAUCCCUUUUCCAUGGCAGCCCAGAAAUGUCAUAUCAGACUGUGAUGGUUGGUCCUAAUUCUUUCUCCUCUGCAAUCAUGAAAAGAGGCUCAGGGGUGACUUCAUUGCUCUCCACAACUGCCUCAAAGGAGGUUGUAGCCAGGUGGGGAUUGGCCUUUUCUCUGAGGUAAUAACAGGACAAGAGGGCAUAGCCUCAAGUUGCACCAGGGAAGGCUUAGAUUGGAUAUUAGGAAGAAAUUCUUCACUGAAAGGCUAGUUAGGCAUUGGAAUAGGCUGCCCAAGGAAGUGGUAGAAUCACCAUCCCUGGAAGUGUUCAAAAACCUGUGAGCAUAGUACUUGGGGACAUGGUUUAUUUCUGAAUAUGACCGUGGCUGGGUUAGCAAUUGGAUUUGAGGGUCUUUGAGGUCUCUUCCAACAGUAACAGUUUGAUGAUUCUAUGACAGCUUGCACCAAUAAAAAUUUCAGCUGGGUAUAUUCUCACUGCUUGGGCUAGAUCAGGAGCUGUGAACAGAUUGUCUUGUGCAGGUCUGUGGGUUCACAGAGCUUAGAUAGAAACUGGGCCUUGAAAGCCAUAGGCUGACAUUGCUGAAAUUGGCUUAGAAAGCUGAGCAGAGGCAGGCUUGUGCAGAAGAGUGCCAGGGGAAGGGGAAUGUGCUGACUUGCAUAGCACCAAAGCUAAAUGCAGGAUGUAUUGGGAUGCAGCAGAUAUGGAAAGGGCUGCCUGGUUCAGACACCUGAAGGUAGAUCUAUGUGGAGCGCAAAAUAGGCUCAAUUUACUAAUUCUAGACAAUUUAAAAGAAGGAGAAUUGCAGACAAGCAGGCUUGUUGCACAACUUGUACACUGGAGAGUGAACCACUGGGUCAAUUCCUUGCCAUCAAUGGAACCACAAAUGUAGAGCCAGAGCCAAUUCACUUUCAUGACUUGCCAUACCCAUGCUGUUUCUGCCAGGAUCUGGGGUGGGACCAAUGAAUUCUCCCCUAGUACACUGUAAAAACAUUGACAGAGGACCUCCACAGCCUACUGCAACAUUACAAACCCUAAGUAUCACAUCUGGAAAAAAUGGUACAGGGUCAAUACAUGACUUCACUCACUCAGGCACUUGUAAACCCCUUUCCCACUGUCCUGUCAUUCUCUCUUAUGGUAAGCUGAUAGAAUUGGAGUGUAUUGAAAAUGUCCCUCUCAAAUUAGUGCUGUACCAGAGACACUCUGGCUGGUGUGUUGAGGGCAGGGAAAAGCCAUGCAUGGAAACACUGCAUUACUUAAAGGUAUGGAGUCCUGUGUGUAUGCUUGGUAUGCUUGGGCUGUGACAGAACAGCUCUCUUGAGAGGGAAAAGACUGACAAAAAAAUGACAAUAAUGUUUUCUGAGGGUGAGGUCAGGCAGGAACCUGAGCAGAAGCAGGCACAAUGCGUAGCACAGAUUUGGUAUUCUCCUAUGUACCGCUCUCUCUCUCUCCCAGUUUUUUACAGUCAUUUAGGCUUGACAAAUGCUAAUCCUCUAAAUUGGGAUUAAAGCAUUGCUUCAAGUGCUUUGGCACUGAAGACCAUUCUAGGAGUCUGAGGAGCUCAUCCACAACUUUCCACGUGUCAUAGGCCUAGGCUGUACCUGCUGUAUAGGACUUUGGCCAUCUUCCUUUUGAAUGUUUAAGGACUGUUUGAAGAGGGAGCAGGUCAAGACAGAGAACUUGUAAGAGCUGUACUUUUGCUGGAGUUUUACCAAGAAUUGCAGGUCCAGAUUUGCCUUGUAACCCUGCCCCAGUGGGAGAAUUUUUGAUGUAAAUUUGCUUCCCCAGUUAUAAAAUCAUAGACUGGUCUGGGUUGGAAGAAGCCUUAAAGAUCUUCUAGUUCCAACCUCCCUGCCAUGAGCAAGGACACCAUUCUCUAGACCAGAUUGCUCAGAGCCUCCAACCUGAACACUUUCAGGGAUGGGCCUUCUCUGGGCAACAUGUUCCAGUGUGUCACCACCCUCACAGUAAAGAAUUUCUACCUAAUUUCUAAACCUACUCUCCCUUCGGUUUCAAUCUGUUCCCCCUUGUCCUAUGCCCUUGUAAAAAGACCCUGUUGCAGACCCCCUUUGGAUGCUGGAAGGUGCUGUAAGGCUCCCUAGAGCCUUCUCUUCUCCAGGCAGAAUAGCACCAGCUCUACCAACCUGUUCUCAUAAGAGGUAUUCCAACAUUCUGAUAAUCUUCAUGGUCUUCCUCUGGACCUGCUCCAACAGGUCCAUAUAUUUCCUGUGCUGAGGACGCAGAGCUGGAUGCAGCACUCCAGGUGUAGUCACACAAGACCAGAAUAGAGGGAGAGAAUCACCUCCCUUGACCUGGUGGCCAUGCUGCUUUUGAUGGAGCCUAGACAAAGGUGGCUUUCUGGACUGCUAGGGCAUGUCAGCCAACACAUCCAAGUCUUUCUGCUGAGGACUGCUCCCAUUCCACUUGGUCCCCUGCCUGUAUUUGUGCCUGGAAUUGACCCAAGUGCAGGAUCUUGCGUUUGUCCUCAUUGAGCUUCAUGAAGUUCAUGUGGACCCACCUUUCAAGCCUGUCAAGGUCCCUUUGGAUGACAUCCCAUCGUAACAUCUAUUUGUACAACAGACCUCCACAAAUGAGAAUAAUGUAUUCCUUGAAGCAGGAUAUAUUUAAAAUGCAAUAAUCCCGAAUAACUCAGACCCUCUGUUAGGAACUGCCAUAAUGACUAAUGAAGCAUUAUGAAGUUUCCAUCUGCAGUUCACCAUCACCGUAGGCCUCUCGAAGAGAUUUGGUUGUUGUAAUUUCAAUGUGUCAUGGUCUCAGUCUUGGUCAAAGUGACGUCUGCAGACUGGAUCCAUCAGGUGGAAGGGACAGUCCUGGGGAAAUCCACAGAACACAGCCUCUGUUGGGCUUAUAUUCCUGUUCAGAUAAUGCCCAGGCACCUCUCCCGGGUGGGUAGCUUCACACUGGAUGAUGUAUUAAUGUGGAUCAUGAGACACUUCGGGAGUCCUUCACACUUUCUAAGACAAUACAGGUGCCCAUCACACCAGGCAAUUGAGUCACUUAUGGCCCAUCAACAGAGAUGAACACCCUCAGGCCACACGUGAAUGUCCCCGGGGGUGGGGGGAGGGGAGCCCCACGACCUAGUGGUUUGUGCAAGGGAGGAUGGCUUACCGUGACAAGAGGCACCAUCAUCUCCACAGUAUCCCUCUCCUAUCACACAUCAUUCACCCUCUGCCUUAUCAGAUCAGAGGUUAGCCAUUACACGCACAAAAGCUCACCUCCUCCAUUUCAACAAAGCACUCUGGCAGCUCCACAAAUGGGGGAAAUGGUUUGCCAUUAUUAUCCCAAAGAGUUCAGUCUCUCAGCCUUACAGUGAAGGAGCCCUAGUUCCCCAGAAACUUUUGAGUUUCAGAGCCAGGCACAUAUACUGUCUCUUUCUGUCUUUUCCUUUUUCUCAGUGAAUUCCACCCUCUCUUAAAAGUCCAGUUUCACUAGGAACAGUAGAAAAAGCUCUCCUUGUAAAAGAGCUCUUGCUGCAAGAUCCUUGAGCCUUCUCAGGCUCAAAAGAAAAUUGCAGUCAAGUCUCAACUUGCCAUAUGCAACCUCUAGCUACUGAGCUGAAAUGCAAAAGGCAUGAUUUUCAUCAGUUGUGAUCAGUAAGAUGUCACUGAGCUUGUGCUUAGCUCCAUGCUAUCCACCCUUGCUAAACACAUUCAGCAUAUUGCUGGAUGCAGGCUCUGAAGGAGCAGCACACAAGUUAGACCCAAAGACAUCAUCACAUUGUAGAACUAAUAUGGCUUUAGGUGAGCAGGACACAAGUUAGGCCCAAAGACAUCAUCACGUUGUAGAACUAAUGUGGCUUUUAGGUUGGAAAUAACAAUCAAGCUGUUCAGCUCAGCCCAGUGCAUUAGAUAUGUUGUGAGUCUUCUAGAAAAAAUAAAAUUAAAAGACCACUCCAGACAAUCCGACAUGUAAGUAGUUAGGACAAGGAAAGUACAGUUCACUCUGUUAAGACUUUGAAGGCUAAGUUCACUAAGAAACCUGAAAGUUUUAAGUUCCUUUGCAAAACCCAUGUAUCCAUGCUUACAAGACAUUAUUGGUAGAUGAUGAAGUAAUUUGUUACUGUAAUUAUCUCAUGUUCUGAAAAACAGAAGUACCUUUCAAACACUUUGGGAUAGAAACAGAUCUUCACUUGUUAAAAAGUGAGUUGCAGUCAAAGAGCUAAAUUUCCCUGUCAAACUUGUACACAUACUGGAUUUACUAGUAUGGAUGUAGGCUAGGGUUUGGCCAACACAGCUUGUCCCAGUCCCAGUGUUUCAAAUGGCAAUUGGAUGCUCUGCUCUGGCUAGCUGUUAGUGCAGGGACUGCAGGUGUCUUAGCAGUAAGGUAAAUAAAAUAAUGGACUAGUAGUUGAGCUGAGUUCCUGGGCUUAUAAAACCAGUCUUGCUGAGUCUUCAGUACUACUUUCACCUGCAUGAUUCAUGUUGUAGCCACAUGUAGCUACAAUUAGCUGGGUUAAGUGUGAAGUCCUCUGGGAACCUUUCUGAGGGCUCUUAGUAGCUCUAAGCACUAAUUUGUGCUGCUCUAGGAAUUGGUUCAGGUCUCAUUUCCUCUUUCCCUCCAUGGAAGGGCUCAGCCUGCUGACACAUUUAACCCAGUCACCUCCAGCUAUGCACAUGUGCCAGUUCUUCCAUUCAUGGUGUAAGACUCCAGUGCAGAGUGGGCUUCUUUUGCAAGAAGUAAUAAAAGCUGCAUGAGAUGAGAUGAGAUGAGAUGAGAUGAGAUGAGAUGAGAUGAGAUGAUUUAAGCCACAGUUUCAGUUACCAGAGUAGAAGACAAGUUCUGUGAGGGAGCAUCAGAGCUGCAGAUACCCCAGGGUGCAGAGCUGUACCCUGGAAGGGAAUGUAUUCACCUAUGCCCAGAAGGGUCAGCAGAAACUUCAGCAUUUCUACAGGGGAACAGAAGCCAUCUGGUACUCUAUGAGAGGCUUUCUUCAGAGCAUAGCAGCGUGGAAGCCUUACUGCUGCUGAAGCAGACAGCUACUAAGGCUGAAGCCAGGUCUCUCACCCAACUGCCUGGGGGGCUGUGGCUCAGCUACACUCAGAGCAUGCAGACCACAUGGUGCCUAGAUGAUGUAUAAUAGCAUUUAUUUAGUGGCCUGGAGUUCUGAUGUUCCACUGGCUGGCAAAAGGGACAACUUCCCUCUAAGCAGCAGUUACUGACAGGUGCCAGUGUUUGUGCUUGCCCUUUUGUGGUGCCAUGCCCAUGUAAUGCAGGCCAGAGUUGUGCGGAGGGGCUGUGCAGACAGCAUCACAGAAUGAUGAUUAGCAGCUUCAUGACAACAUAAGUCAAAAUGCAAGAUUAAAGCACAACGUGUAGUUAGCAAAUAGGGUGCAAUUGUCUCCUUUUGUCAUUAGGCUGUAGGAUAAGAGAGGAUAAGGCAGCCUUGAAAUAUUUUGGUUGCCACUUGUCAUCUAGAACCUUUCUAGCAGAAAGCUGCUAAAUCAGCCUUGCCAAGCCAGAGGUGAAACUGAUGUUCCAAUGAGUUAGAGAGGGCCCAGUGCUCUUUAAAAAUAGCUUUUGUCACAUAUAUUAAAAAAGUGCUUAUUACUUUUAUCAUGGAAAUGCCGUAAGACAUUUAAUUUUCCCACUCACACAUCAAUCCCCAUUGUGCUUGACAAUGUAUAAACAAGAAAACUGCUCACCUCUCUGGAGCUCUGGGAGCAUUGGCACAGAAGAUGCUCUUCAAACAGUUUUUUAAGAGGAAAUAUGCUCAGCCUUAUAUAAAAAUAUCUACUAAAGUCAACUCAGGAGUCUGUCAGUAAAGAUGUAGCUUGUUUCAGGAGUCCAAACUACUUCUGACAAUGGAUGACAGGACAGACUGGCAUUGCCCAAAGUUUCUCUCUUAACUCUGCUCUUACUUAGUACUUGGCUAGAGUAAUAACUUAUUGCAUAAGGUUAUAUAAAACAAGACUGUACUGUGCAAAGUGCCCCAAAUUAUUUAAUCAAUAUGUUUCAUGGUGUCUGGAUGAUUACACACAAAAUGCCAGGGGCAACAAAGCAAUAAAAGCAACAAGACACUGGAAGUAUUGUUCAGAUAGCUGUGUAAUAAUCUUAGGCAAUUUAAUUUUCUGUGUUGAAAGUUAAUUACUUACUUUAGGGAAACACCGAUUUAAUGUUUUCAGUCAACUAAGUGGCUAAGAUUCAUUAAAAGGAACCCAUAUUACAAAUACCUUCAUGCCACAUUGCUUUUAUUUUCAGAGAUAAAAUUUUCACCUCCUACCCCCCAACCAACUUCUGUUCUAAACAGAUUUCAUACAGUGCUUUUCUCCAUAGCUUCUGGGAACAAAAGCUCUGAAUGAACUUUUGUGGCCCAUGUAAGAACAUGCCCAGGUGUCACAGGUGUCUGACACCAACAGCAUACAGCAGAGAAAUGCAAGGAAAUUCUCGAAAUGAAAAUUUCAACUGUAUCAGAGACAAAAUGGGGCAAGUUGUAUAGGCAAGUCAUUAAUGUAACAGUAAUUAGAGGCUAAAACUUAAGCAAUUGUACCUUAAAAAUAAAAAACCCAACCACCACCCCCCCCCAACCAGCCCCAAAGCAAAGAACAGCAGAGUUAAGAAAUGAGCCAGAAGUAUGUAUUGGUAUGUAAAGAUAAAUAUUGGAAACUUGAACAAUUUUGCUGAAAUGGCCUUUUUAGGUGAGCCUCACUGAAUUCAGUAUACUUUGCCUGUAGAAACAUUGUCUGUUAAUAGGCUUAAGGGAAGCAUGGAGGAAUUGUAAGGAGAAUAACUAAAAUAAACACACCCUAACUUGUUCAUAAUAACAGCAUCUCCCAAAUGCUUUCCUUGCUUUAUAGUCGCUUAAGAAACCACGGGUAGGUAACAAAAACAUUCCUGCAAAGGGUGUGUGUGAACAAAAAAUCUGUCCUAGGUAGGAAUAAUUCAGUCAAUCACAGAGGUGUAAAUAACACUUCGAGUUGGGAAAGUAGUGUGAAAAUAAGCAGUCAGCACCCUUUUACUUGAUACUUGCUCUUUCAUAGCAAUUCUUGAGAUCAAGAGUCGAAGAGACAGAAUUACCAACUCUGAAAACCUGACAUAGUGCAAGAUCUUCCAGGCAUCACUAGUAAGAGCAUCAGCCAAAAGUCUCCUCCUCUCCCCAGAGGCUCACCCACUGCCUCAGAGGACAGUUUUGUCAUGUGUUGUGCAUCCAGAGAUGUGCACAAGAGUCUGAUCUGCACUUUUACCCCAGAGCCUGAAAUGUCUGAGGUACUGCCAUCCCAUUUAGAUACUUGCCAGCAUUUUAAAAGCUGCCACGGAAAUACUCUUUAAUCCUGGAGUGAAGUUUUACUCAUCAAAAUUUGCAAACCUUGCCUUACAACUUAUUAGCUGCUUUGAAUCUUAUCUCAAAGUGAGGCCCAAGGUGUGGUACGCAAAGCAGGGAAGGGAAUGCCUUUCUUGCUUGAAGGUCUUAACCCUUCAGCAUAUGUAAGGCUUGCAACAGAGAGGGUAGAUGCAGGCCCCUGACAUGUGGAAGGCAUUUAAGUGCUUGCACAAAGGAUGGGAGGGGAGGGGAGGAGAGGAGUCAAACAUCAAACAGAAAACAGAACUCUGGAAAAGCUGCUGUCAGCUGCCAAAGCAUGGGGCUACAUAAAUUGUUGACUGGGCACUGCUGUCCAGCCUCUGGAGAAGUCUGACUACUGGAAGCUCAGCUAGAAAGUCGUAUCUCUGAUCAGCUGCAUCAGGAAAUGCUUGAGUGCCUUGCCCCCUAUCUUCAUUUCUGGUAUUUUAAUAUUCAUUAGUUUAGAUGGCUACUCAGAUACCCCAAAUCUGUGUCCAGAGCUUAGGACAGAAAAUUUCAGGGUCAGCAGGCUGCAUUCUUUGCAACAGGAACAGAGUAGAACCAAAUAUUUUUAACAAGUGUCAUCACUGUCUUCUGAUUACUGUCCCAUCCACAUUGCAAUCUGCUUCCAAAUUCAGCUGCAGCUGUUAUCAGGUGGGUUUUCUGCUUAUCACGCUGUUGUAACUAGUACUUCAUGGCAACAGUUCAUCCUCCUCUUUCAGGUGCAGAUAGCCCCAUCUUCUAGCAAAUGAAUCAGAAUUCUUCAUUUUUGCAGUGUACUCCUUACUCAUCAUUUUGUACAAGUUUAAUGACUCCUUCUUUCUCUUAGGUCUGUGUGUAGUAGAGAACCUCCAAAUACAUUUGUAGCAGUGCUGCUGUUCUGUGCCCCACCUGGGCAAAGUGGCCAUGGAAUAGAUGGAUAUGCUAAAAAACAUCACUAACAACAGUUUGCAUACCUAGACUUUCUACAGCAGAAGAAAUAGUUAUUAUUGGUUAAGUUAUAAGGUUGUAUUCAAUUAGGUUACAAAAAAUUCAAAGUCUGAAAGAAAUGCUGUCUUCUGACAAUUGAAAAUUGCAUUGCUACCUUUUUACUAUUAUUUUUUUAAUUAGCAGAUAAGAAGGGGGUGGACAAAGUGGGAGGAUUUAGAUUCAUGACCAAGUUCCCCUCUUUGCUAACAGGAUAGCAGUAAUAGUGUUAUAACUUGUCUUUUGCACAACAUAUAUCUCAGGUUCUAAUAAAGAUACAAUACUUUAUCCCCUGAAUUAGUGAAAGAAAUAAACAGGCAAGUACUAACUGCAAGUAAUUUUGUUCCAUUUAAUUCUCUUCCAAAAAUGAAUCACAAAGUUCAUAAGCUUAUCUUACUAACAUGAGUCUUGUCAACUCUCCUUUUAACUAACUCCAGCCCUGUAGCUUUGAAGCUUGCUAGGGUUGUGGGGCAUGGAGCUGAGCAAAUUUCCCAGGAAAUCUUGAGCAUGUGUGUGGGAGGGGGCAGCGUGCCAUGACUGUGGUCUCACUGUAGCUUUUUGCAACCAUUUCCAAUGUCACAGUGACCUGCAGUUAUUUGAAAAGGAAGUUUCCAGCUGCAAGUAUCUUUAAUUUGCAAGUCUUACCUACUCAGUGAAAGAGGCCUGCUGGGACUGGUAUGCAUCCCUAUUAAAGUCAUAUGAAUGCUUUUUUAUGUUUUUAAUUACACCAUUUGCAUGACACCUCUAAUCUCACGAUGAUCACAUAGGAACUCUGGUUAGGUUUGCCUUUCACAGCUCAAGAGUGCUACUGAAACAAUUUUUAUAUUUGAGCACUGGGAUGUGCCCAGUGGAACCAGAGAUGAGUCAGCAGUUAGCUGUGGUUAUUUGAAUAGCAGAACAAGCCCUGCCUGCCGCUAGGAAACCGUCCACAAAGGUCAGACCGAGUGCUUAGGAUUUAGACACCACCACCCUGGUGACAGGAAUUCUCUCCAGACCUCGGCGGUUUUUAGAACAAGCACCGUUCUAUUUGACAUUUGGACGUUGCUGUAUUAAAUACCGGCUACUUGGUAUCUAAAUGAAGAAUGCUCGACACCACUGCUACUACCCACAGUGAGCCCUGCCUGCCACACUGACAGAUGCUGCUGUCUCCCCAGACAGGGGGGUUAGGUGCUAAAAUCAGUAACUAUUAAAACAAGGGUAUUGAGUAAGGAUCUGCUGAGUCUCAUCAGCAUGAAAUACUGAAGAGGAGGUAAGGAGUCACCACUGCCCUUUCCACAGGAGCUGGGGCUGUAAUUCACAUGUAGGGACAGCCCAGCUGACAAAUUGACUGCUCCAGUAUGGAGAGAGCCGAGUUGCUCAAGGAUAAUCAGGUGCUGAGCCACAGCAGCUUACAAAGCACGACAUUCAGAGUAAAGACAGCGAGAACCUUUACAAGUUAUUACCUACACUGGCAGGAGUUUGUGGGGGGUGUUAAGCCAGAUACAGGAUGUGUGAGACAGUUCCCUGGCAAGGCACUACUUCUCACAAACAGUCCUGGAGAGGAAACGGUUUAUAAGCUAAAACUCAUUUAGGGUUCAGCUCUGUUGCCCUGCAACCACAGGAAACAAGCAUCCCAGCCCCACUUAUGAGUCAUGGAUUUUGGGAACUUCACCUUGAAGAGCAGGAAAGAGUCCUCUCGAGGUAGAAUGGAUCUCUUUUAUUCCUUCUCCUGAGAUCACUGCCUAAGCUCCUUCAUUUGCCAAAGAAAAAAAAAAAGAAAAAAGAAGGCACAAUAAGAAACACAGCUGCUUGUGAUGGUUCCACCCUCCCUUAUUCAAUUGUUCAGUGGUUUAACAUUCAGCCUGAAUGUUGCAGACCUACUUUUAAUUCUCCCUUCUAGCUGAGAGGAUUCAAGGCCACAUUGUUCCCGCCCUCCACUCAAGUGACCUAUCUACAAAACAGCUGAAUUAAUAACAAAAAUAAAAGGAGAAAGACAUCCCACGACAAACGCCUUCAUGUUCUGCUGACCCACUUCAGUGAGAACACUUGAAAAUUCUGUGGCUCUUACUGAGAAUGAUUUUGCCAGGACUAAGAACUGCAAUUAGUCUAUAAAACCAGUGUUACUUGUUCCAGACACACACAGACUUUAAGGCACCCUCUGCAUCCGAGCAGGGGUUUAAAAUUUCUUUUCAAGACAAAUCCCAGGCCUCUGAGUUACACACCAAAAAUCCAUUUUUAUCAUUCUCUCUGACAUGUUUUUAUGAGAACAUUAAAUGUCAUUAAAGUCAAGAGAGUAAAACCAGGAUUCUGCCGAAGGCAAGGCUUAGAACAAUAGUAUUAAUGAACUACAAUUCGUCACCACAAGGCCAAAUGGCAUAUAGGUGUUGCUAUACAGCAACACAGCCCUGGCCCAUAAGCAAGCACUGGGGUUUAACAACUGGCAUUUAUUGCUGUAGGUAAAUACCAGCUGCCUCACUCUGAGCCCCAGCAGUUUAGUUUAUAUCACAGGUUUUAGUCUUUCGUAUGUAAACAAAGUUAUGCAAACAUAUACAUUUGAAUUUGCGGUAGUUUUUUUUUCAAAGGCAAUCUGAACAAAAGAGGAAGAGCCCUCACUGAGAUACUGAGAAGUGAAAUGCAGGAGCAGUGUCUCUGGUUUGAGUUACAAGGAAGGCCAUAAGUGCUUUUGAAACCCAAUCUUUGCUAAACAUACACCACAUGUGUGUUUGUAGGCCGGUACCAAGGGCCUGCAGAGGCCUCGUUUUACUCUCUGCUGUAAUGAACAAAUUUGAUUAAAGGGCCAAAAAUUCAACUCGUGCAAGAGCUGCAAUGUGAAAAAUCCUGGCACCAUUAACCUUUGCUGUGGCAGGAACAGGACUACUGUGGGAACGGAGCACGUCUUCCCCCUAUGCACGAUGCAGCAAACGAGCUUUUUGGGACUAAAAAUCCCCCCUAAAACAACAAACAAACCAAAAACCCCAAACAAAUCCAACAAACACUGGGGCUGGGAGCCGCUCGCCCUCACAGCGGCGUCCGUGCCGAGAGCUGUGCUGCCACCUCCUGGUGGCUCCCGGCAUGGCCCCAGCCGGUGCCGCCUUCAGAGCCAUCAAAAUCGGUACUAAUUUCACCCAUAGUUACCAAAGUUCUUGUUCGAGUUUCUAAUCUCUGCCCGCUCCGAACGGAAGUAUUUCCCCGGGAAAACAUUUGUGACGCGUUUGGAUUUCUGCUGAUUCUGCUCGGCGCCUUUCUCCCCUCCCUGCUUUUCCAUGCGCUUCGCACAGUCCCACAGAGGGAUGAGGUCGUCCCUGUGGGCGCAGCUCCCGCGCCUCGUCAAAGCUCCCCGGGACUGAGGUAGAGCAGGAGCCUCAGAGCUUUCAUCGCUGUCUUCUGGUGGCAUUUCUUAAAAAUUCAGUUUGCAACAGCAGCCUACCAAGAAACAGCAAAAUGCUCCCAGCUAAAUAAUUUUUCUUAAUUUUGUAAUGUAAAUUCUGAAGGGAUUAACGAUGUAAUUCCUACAAGUGUCAGAAGCAGCUCUGAUCAUCCUUUCUCUCAAGACAUAAAAACCGCAGGACCACAAACAUUCCAAUUAUGGCAAAAUUGCUUCAGAACACUGUAGCAAAUCUGCCGUGCCUUCCAUACCACAAAAACUAUAGAGGAUACAACUACGAGAAAUGGAACAAAAAGGAAUGCCUCAAGUCUCACACGUCCAAAACACCACUCACAGCAAGAGGUCUUAAAAAUAUAGUAUGUAUUAUUUCAUUUAAAAACCAAGAAUAAUAUUUUCAGACAGAAAAUGAUAAGGAGAGACAGCACAACUUUCUUCUUCAUCCAGCCCUGUCCCUACUGUGCUUUAAAAAACCAGAAAGAUAAGAGAAAGAAAUAAAUGGUUGCAAUGAAAUGUCAUUAAUUCAAUAUCAGCAGCCCACAGAUCUGGUAAGAAGCAUCACUCAAGCAACCUACCCAAAUAUGAUACCUUGUUUAAAAAAAAAACCACUGGGAUUUACAUUAUAAGUUUUUUAAAAGUGAUAUUAAUAUAGUACUCAAUGUCGAGAAAUUGAGGGACUGAGGUGGUAAAAUACAUGCUCAACUACAUCCAUAAGAUUUAAAAUGUUUAAUGUGCAAGUCUCUGACAGAAAUUAUUAAAUUACAAUACACUAAAAUUUGAAGGAUGGGAAUUUCUUCAUGUGUAUGCUCACAGUAGCAGGUGAAAUACUCAGCUGUUGAAGUACAAACAUCACUAUGCUUAAGUGACUUAUACAUAAUUUUUAAGGCAAAAAUAGGUAACAACAUGACUGCAUACAGUUGCAAAAAUAUUUACAGGUAUCAUUAGAGAAACAUUAUACUUCUAGCAUGAAAGUUUUGAUUAUGCACUUAGUAGACAGUGAUUUAUAUGAAAAAUUAUCAUUAAAAAUGUAAAAUUAAUCUAGCUAGGAUGAGUAGCUCUGACAUUUUUACACUGGCCUCCACACUCUCUGAUCUUUGUCCUUCAACCUCUAUCACUGUAAGCUGUUCUCUCUCUCCCUGCUACUUUCCAGUCUUAUUACAAAGGUGCAGGUGUGCCUGAGCAGCCUUAGGAUCUACAGAGGAAGAAGCUGCAGUGCUAAAAAUGUAUGCAAAUGGUCCCAGAAAACCAGAAAAGAAUGGAAAAAACAGAUCCUGAGAAAUAAAAUUAGUGAGAAGGAAAAAAAAAAA